GACGAACGCUGGCGGCGUGCUUAACACAUGCAAGUCGAACGAAGUGGCGAACGGGUGAGUAACGCGUAAUCAACCUGCCCUUCAGAGGGGGACAACAGUUGGAAACGACUGCUAAUACCGCAUACUGAAGGAGGGGAUUGCGUCGGAUUAGCUAGCUGGAGGGGUAACGGCCCACCAAGGCGAUGAUCAGUAGGCGGGCUGGGAGGAUGAACGGCCAAAUUGGGACUGGGACCAGGGCCAGACUCCUACGGGAGGGAGCAGGGGGGAAUCUUCCGAAAUGGAGGAAAGUCUGACGGAGCAACGCCGCGUGAGUGAUGACGGCCUUCGGGUUGUAAAGCUCUGUUAAUCGGGACGCGGUACCGGAAUAGAAAGCCACGGCUAACUACGUGCCAGCCGCCGCGGUAAUUC
rnacentral:rRNA from 1 species